CAGCCGCCACGGUAAUACGUAGGGUGCGAGCGUUAAUCGGAAUUACUGGGCGUAAAGCGCGCGCAGGCGGUUAUAUAAGUCAGAUGUGAAAUCCCCGGGCUCAACCUGGGAACUGCGUUUGAGACUGUAUGGCUAGAGUGUGUCAGAGUGGGGUAGAAUUCCACGUGUAGCAGUGAAAUGCGUAGAUAUGUGGAGGAAUACCGAUGGCGGAGGCAGCCCCCUGGGAUAACACUGACGCUCAUGCACGAAAGCGUGGGGAGCAAACAGGAUUAGAUACCCCUGUAGUCCCUGUCUCUUAUAC
rnacentral:rRNA from 1 species